UUUAAUAUAGAAAUUAAGCCGUAGACAGUAGGUGCUGAUUAUUCAGCUUAAUUGGAGCCUACCGAGGUCAUUGAGAUAGAUUGUAUAUGUUUUUUAAAAUUGACUAUACAAAGCCUCUCUAUGUCUACGGUAGAGAGGCUUUUUAAUUUAUUGG
rfam:Caminicella sporogenes DSM 14501 genome assembly, contig: EJ28DRAFT_scaffold00026.26